CCUGUGUGGCACUCGGACAGCUGUCCCUGGGUGCAUCACGCCGCACCAGUUUGGAGCUGGUGGAGCAGCUGGGCGUACUGGGCAGCCGUGACCCGCCGGGGCGGUCUGCUGGCCAUCCCGUCGCUCGCCGGCCAGAGCGGAUGGAAAAGGCAAACGGUGCGGAAAAUUGCCACGUCUUUCCCCUGGAAAUGUUGGAAGUUGCCCAUGAGACAGAGCCCUCAAGGAUCAGCCCAGGAGCACCUCUGGGAAGACCUGGUGUGGAGGACAACCAGCACUGCUGCAGAGGCCUUGAAUCCUUCUGGAGCUCUUUGAAAACCAGCCAGCAGAAGAUUAUUAGCUGAUGCUAAUGGAGACUCAGAAGCAUGAAUGGUGUCCUGGCAACAACUGAAUAGCAUGAGAUGAGUACUUCAGUACCGCAAGGUACCUCGUAAAACAGGGAGAGCUGAUAACAUGGGUCCUGCUUAAGCGUGCUUGUGGCUCACACAGGCUGUCCUGUGCACCCCAAGUCAUGGUAUUGAAAAUCCCAGCACAGAGGAGUUUGCUUCUUGCUUGGUUUCCCUUGCUCUGUAAUUGACUCCUGGGAAGCCUUUACACAGGAGAGGA
rnacentral:lncRNA from 1 species